UACGUAGGGUGCAAGCGUUGUCCGGAAUUAUUGGGCGUAAAGAGCUCGUAGGCGGUCAGUCGCGUCUGCUGUGAAAACUCGGGGCUUAACUCCGGGCCUGCAGUGGGAACGGGCUGACUAGAGUGCGGUAGGGGAGACUGGAAUUCCUGGUGUAGCGGUGAAAUGCGCAGAUAUCAGGAGGAACACCGGUGGCGAAGGCGGGUCUCUGGGCCGUAACUGACGCUGAGGAGCGAAAGCGUGGGGAGCGAACAGG
rnacentral:rRNA from 1 species